rnacentral:rRNA from 1 species
AUUGAACGCUGGCGGCAGGCCUAACACAUGCAAGUCGAGCGGAUGAAGGGAGCUUGCUCCUGGAUUCAGCGGCGGACGGGUGAGUAAUGCCUAGGAAUCUGCCUGGUAGUGGGGGAUAACGUCCGGAAACGGGCGCUAAUACCGCAUACGUCCUGAUGGUGAAAGUGGGGGAUCUUCGGACCUCUCGCUAUCAGAUGAGCCUAGGUCGGAUUAGCUAGUUGGUGGGGUAAAGGCCUACCAAGGCGACGAUCCGUAACUGGUCUGAGAGGAUGAUCAGUCACACUGGAACGGGGACACGGUCCAGACUCCUAAGGGAGGCAGCAGUGGGGAAUAUUGGACAAUGGGCGGAAGCCUGAUCCAGCCAUGCCGCGUGUGUGAAGAAGGUCUUCGGAUUGUAAAGCACUUUAAGUUGGGAGGAAGGGCAGUAAGUUAAUACCUUGCUGUUUUGACGUUACCAACAGAAUAAGCACCGGCUAACUUCGUG